CUUAACUCUGGGAUAAGCUAUUUGGUGAUAGACACAGUACCUGGACCGGGCAGAGGAGUGGAAUCCAAAGAUAAAGUUAGGAGAACGUACUUCAAGGGGAAAUUUGUCCUUUCACUUGUGGUAUCAUAGUCUUUCAUGGAUCCCAUGCUGUUGUCUGUUUAUUUCUCCUUAAACAAGGAAAAAUAUACCCAGACCCAGUUUUCAUCAACAGACCAGUCUGGGAUGAUAUGAAACCUUGCAGACGACAUGCAUGGAUCAACUCAUGAGACAGUAAAUCACUCAAAAUCUUACUACAAAAGACAACGUCCUUAUUUGCUUUUACAGAAAAAGGGCAUCUGUUGGAGGCUGGAGGAUCUACUGUCAAGAUGACUCACUCUUAUGACUAGCAGACCACUACGGGCAACUCUCCAUCUAUCCCUCCUGAUUCCUUUAUGGACAACUCUCCAUCUAUUCCACCUGAUUCCUCUAUGGACAACUCUCCAUCUAUUCCGCCUGAUUCCUCCAUGGGCAACUGUCCAUGUAUUCCACCUGACUCCCAGCUAGGCUGCAUCCUCCACCAUUGGAAUCAAUUUGACCCUGACAACCUAAAAAGAAAACUGUGAUGAUUAAUACUGAGUGUCAACUUGAUUGGAUAGAAGGAUGCAAAGUAUUGAUCCUGGAUGUGUCUGUGAGGGUAUUGCCAAAGGAGAUUAACAUUUGAGUCAGUGGGCUGGGAAAGGCAGACCCACUCUUAAUCUGGGUGGGCACCAUCUAAUUAGCUGCCAGCAUGGCUAGAAUAUAAAGCAGGCAGAAAAACAUGAAAAAACUAGAUUGGCCUAGCCUCCCGGCAUACAUCUUUCUCCUGUGCUGGAUGAUUCCUGCCUUUGAACAUCGGACUCCAAGUUCUUCAGUUUUGGGACUCACACUGGCUUUCCUUGUUCUUCAGCUUGCAGACAGUCUAUUGUGGGAUGUGGUGAUCGUGUGAGUUAAUACUACUUAAUAAACUCAUACGUAUAAUAUAUAUCAUAUAUAUGAUAU
rnacentral:lncRNA from 1 species